GACGUAGGGCGCGAGCGUUGUCCGGAUUUAUUGGGCGUAAAGAGCUCGUAGGCGGCUUGUUGCGUCGACUGUGAAAACCCGCGGCUUAACUGCGGGCUUGCAGUUGAUACGGGCAGGCUAGAGGUAGGUAGGGGAGAAUGGAAUUCCCGGUGUAGCGGUGAAAUGCGCAGAUAUCGGGAGGAACACCGGUGGCGAAGGCGGUUCUCUGGGCCUUAACUGACGCUGAGGCGCGAAAGCGUGGGGAGCAAACAGG
rnacentral:rRNA from 1 species